AUCAAAUAUUUGAGGUGUAGUAAUCGAGUUUAAAAACUAGAUAUGUAAAUCUUGAGUCAAUUUUUUUAAAUGCCGAAAUGUUCUCCCUUUUGUAAACAGAAUCGUAUAUGAUAUACGUAUAUUCUAUAAUUAAUAAAUAAACCAUAACCAAAAACUUAAAAAAAAGAAGACAAAUUUGAAAGACAAAUUAUUUUGUUGCUUACAAGCACUCCUGGGCCCUAUAACACAAACACUACAAUUGUUACAAGUUUACAAGUUACAAUUAAUUUACCAGGUACGGUAAAUUAAAAACGGUACACAAGUCGUGAUGAAUUAGUAAAAAUGUCGUCUAAACAAAUUAUUUUCGAAAGAAAAAUGCAGUUUUUGACAAAAAUUAAAGAAAACAAGGAAAUUCUAUUUGGUGCUUUCUCGGAUAGACUUAAAAAGCAAGACAAAGUCGAGAAAUGGAAGGAAAUAGCCCAUAAGUAGCCCAAAGUAUAUGCUUAGUUUCAGUAGAGAAGGAUUGGACCUACGUAAGAGAUACUGUCUGGCAGAAUUUGAAGAAAUCUGCAAUGCUUAAAAUAGACAACGCGAAAAAAACAGGGACUGGUGGGAAAGGCAUGUUAACGGAAAUAGAUAAGAUGAUUUUCGAUAUUUUUGGAAAGGAAUCUGUAAGGAUCAAAUGAGACUGUCCACCCAACCGGACAUGAAUGUGGACCAUCUACUUCAAGGAAAGCCAGAAAGAGAAAAGUUGUCGAAAGCACGGGUGAAAGUGACGAUAAAAAUGAAAAGCUGAAACUACAAAUUGAACAUAUAAAAUUACAAAACUAUAAAACCAAGCUGGAAAUAUUAAAAUGAGAAAAGGACCUCGGGUUACCGUUUUCUGAAUUUACCUCGCAGUUCCAAAAUAACUUCCAAUCAGAAAACGGCAAGACCUAUUUAUCUUUAUAAUAAUUUAUCUAGUACCUAUAGUUUAAAUCCUUCGUUAAUAAAAGUUGUUAAUAAAUGAAAUAAAUAUUUUCGUUUUUAUUUUGUAGAUGUAUAUUUUUGAACUUUAGUAGAGAAAUGAAACACGUUUUUAAUAAAUUUUAGGGCACCCUAUAUACAUAUUUUACUACUAGAGUCUGUUGUUUCUAUUAAAAUAAUGAAUCAGUUCGCCUAAUCUAGCUUGCGCCCCAACAGGGGGAUUGUCAUCGAGAUGUUCAUAAUUUUCUUCAUUGUUUGAUAACUCUUCACCAUCGUCUACCAUAAAAUCAUUCGCGUCCCCAUCACCUUUUGAAAUGUUGCAUAAAGUGGCACAUCAUUUCAAAACAUUUGCAGCAAAAACAGGGCUCACGCGUAGGUAGUUCAAACAAGGCAUUUUACUUUAUAAACUCAAAUACUAUGGCUUUGAUCAUAAUGGUAUUAAACUACUGCAAUGCUAUUUAAGUAACAGAAGUCAGAUUGUUUAAUUUGAGGGUUGUAGGUCUAACAUUUUAGUGCUAGCAUGGGGCUCCUCAGGGAUCUACCCUUCGCUCUAUUUUAUUCCAUGUAUGCUAAUGACCUGUCCAACUGUCAUGGAUGUGUGUGAACUUCAUCAUAUUUUGGAUAAACGUUUGACAUAGUAAUGUCAUGUGGAGGAAAUGGCUACUAGACUAUCAAAAUGUCUAAAUAAUUAGGGUCAUUUAGCACAUAUGCCCAAAAUAUUUGGUCUGCAAUGUCCUUGUUUAAGGUUGAUUGCGUGUAUCGGUUAGAUAGAUUGCUAUAAGUCUCACCUUAGACAGUGCCUUUUCCAGUGCGCAUAUUCUUGUGUGUCUGCUGUUUAUGAGGAAAAAUCUUUCCAGGUUUCUGACACGAUAUUCACAAUCACCUCACCAGAGGUGAAAGCUCCUUGGUGGCGAAGACUGUUUCAUCCGCAGUCAAGGUUAUGGCUUUAAUUUUUUGGAAAAGGUAAAACUAUCAACAGCGAGUAUUAUGCCAACUCACUGCAACAUUUGAGCGAAGAAAUGAAGCAAAAAUGACCACAUUUGGCUAAGAAGAAAAUGUUGUUUCAUCAAGAUAAUUCACCAGCCGACAAAUAUGUUAUUAUAGUGGCCAAAAUCAACGAAUUAAAGUUUAAAUUGCCACCUCAUGUACCCUAUUCACUAGAUUUAAGUAACUUGGAUUAUUUUUUGAUUCCAAAUUUGAAAAAAUUUUUGACUGAGUGCUCAAAAAUUUUCCAACGAGGAAGUUGUGAUAUGCGCAGUUAAUGGCUAUUUUGAGGAGUAAGACAGUUCUUAUUAUAAAAUGCUUAGUUCUUAUUAUAGUUAUGUUUAAAAACAAAAUAGGAUAGAGCUAAUGAAAUGUAAAAAAAUUCAAUAUUUUCCUUAUUUUCAGCUCUAAGAGUCAAUUUAAAAUAAAUGUUUUCACAUGAACGAGCAAAUAUAUAUAGAAAAAAUUCAGAUAAUUUUUCAGUUUUUAUGUUUCAGUUUUUCCUUAUUUUCAGUUAUAAAGUUUCAGCAUGAUGGAGCGCCGGCUCACUUUGCUGUACAAGUACGCGAGUAUUUGGCUCAGCGGUUUAGGCACCGUUGGAUUGCCAGAGGUGGAGCGGUUUCUUGGCCUCCUAGGUCACCCGAUUUAACGUCGCUCGAUUUUUUCUUGUGGGGACAUGUAAAGUCUUUAGUCUACGAAACUCCAGUAAAAUCAGAGGUAGACUUUUUGUUACUCUUUUUAGUAUAGUCCGCCGAAAUCAUGUGCGGCGUUUAAACCGGUGUAUUGAGGUUGGAGGAAGACAUUUUGAACAAUUGUUGUGAUGGUAUCAUAUACAAAAGGUAAAAAAUAAAUGCAUCAGAUCCUAUUUAGGUAAUUAAUAUUUUUUCUAAAUUUAAACGCGUCUUAGGGCCGUAGUGGCGUAGUGACACAUUUCCGGACAUGGGUUCCUAUGCUUAAAUGGAUUCUACUGUUGCACUGAACAGCCCCCAGAAGUUUGAUCCCAUAGUUCUGAAACACCCUGUAUUUACCGAUAAUAAUAUAUGAUAGGUUAUUUGGAAAUAAAAGACAAAUUAUUUUGUUUCUUACAGGCACUCCUGUACUAAGAAUAUUAUUAACUUGACUUUUUGUGAAUGGAUUUUAGUCAUUUCUUCAAGAAAGACUUUGGACUAGUCUAGUUUUUUUAAAUUUUUAAUAUACAGGUUCUCAAAAUGUUUCUAUAGGCUUAUUUUAAGGAAGUUAUCUACCUAUUAAGAUGUAAAACAAGUUUUUCCUUUAAGGUAAUUAUUUUCUGCAAAAAAAUUAUUUUUUAUUAAUCCUACCCUUAGCCCCCCACCCACCCCACACAACUUACCAGUAAAAAAUUGUUUUCAAAAAUUAUUGUUUUCCAAAAUAUUGCGCAUG
rnacentral:lncRNA from 1 species